rnacentral:lncRNA from 1 species
CCAAAGUUAAAAAACAAAAAGAAAACGAAAUAGAACAAAGUAGCUCUAAUCUCUCAUAGAUGCAGUAGUGCUUUUUUGCAUGAGUACCUUUCACAUUUUUCUGUCAGAUUCUGAUUUAGAGGCAUCUUUGGGAGACGAAAACGUAUGUUUCUAAUUAUCUCAUUUUUUCCCCAUUUCAAAUAUUUCUCUAAUUUGAUGUGCAGCAUGAUACACUUUCUCUUCUUAACUCAUUUUCCCAUUUUCUUUCAAUCUUCUAUAUCAACAGCAUUUUUCUUUGGUUGGUCUAAAAUAGCGUCUCUACAUAGUACAACAAUGGCCAUGAAGAAAGACUGUAGGUAGGCGGAUGGAAGUAGGACUUAAUGUUAGUAAAUAAGCACAAAGAACAUAGAAUUAUAUUAUAGGAACGUUUUUUGGUCAAAAGUAGUAAGGACUAUUGUUCAUAUUUUUCUUGGAGAAAAUAAACCAAAAUCUUUAUGAAAUGUUUAAGGCAUGCUGAAAGUAUUUGGCAUAAAUAUUAACAAGGGAGAAUCAUCCAAGGCUGCUAACUUUUCAUGCACUCACAGAAUUAAAUCAAGCACACAUAAACAUGGGAGAAUCUCAACAUAAUGGACAUCCUAAUCAGGAG